CCCAAAUUGGGACACACUAUUCCAGAUGUAUCUUCACAGAUCCUGAGAAGAGAGGAAUAACCACUUUCCUCAGAACGCUGCCUACACUUCUGGUAAUACAGCUCGGUAUGUGCACAGCUCUCAUUCCCACAGUUGGGAUCAUAUGCACAAAGUAAGAUCCAUAUCCACAAAGCAACACCCCAGCAGGUUGACUCCAGUCCACGGCUGAGCAUGGUGGGUAGAUCGUACCCAGGUUCAGGACUUUGCAUUUGUUCUUUGUAGCAUUUCAUGAAGCUCCUUCUGACCAGUUUCUCCAGUUUGUGUGGGUCCUUGGGUGACACCCAGUGUAUCAGCCACUCCUCCCAUCUGGUGUCACCAAGAGACUCGCUGAGGGCUCGUUACAUUCCGCUGUCCAGGUUAUUGAUGAGUUCAACAUUUGUUAAUCCAUGCUGGCUGUUCACAGUUGCUGUCUUUCCUUUCACUUGCAGUGAAAUGACCUGCAAAAAAGACUUGCUCCUCAAUUUUUCCAACAACCGAGGAAAGUGUGACCAUCUUUUAGCUGCCUGGAUCCUCUUUGUCACUUGUUUUAAAAAAUACUUUUUUUCUCUUACUGCAGGCCCGAAGAGACAGUCCUCCCCAAGGAUAUCUCUUCUCCUUGGAGACAUUUGGGCAGAGGAAUCACAUAUCAUAACCGUGGUUAAGAUGAGCACACACUGA
rnacentral:lncRNA from 1 species